AGUGAACGCUGGCGGUAGGCCUAACACAUGCAAGUCGAACGGCAGCACAGUAAGAGCUUGCUCUUACGGGUGGCGAGUGGCGGACGGGUGAGGAAUACAUCGGAAUCUACUUUUUCGUGGGGGAUAACGUAGGGAAACUUACGCUAAUACCGCAUACGACCUACGGGUGAAAGCAGGGGAUCUUCGGACCUUGCGCGAUUGAAUGAGCCGAUGUCGGAUUAGCUAGUUGGCGGGGUAAAGGCCCACCAAGGCGACGAUCCGUAGCUGGUCUGAGAGGAUGAUCAGCCACACUGGAACUGAGACGCGGUCCAGACUCCUACGGGAGGCAGCAGUGGGGAAUAUUGGACAAUGGGCGCAAGCCUGAUCCAGCCAUACCGCGUGGGUGAAGAAGGCCUUCGGGUUGUAAAGCCCCUUUGUUGGGAAAGAAAAGCAGCAGGUUAAUACCCCGCUGUUCUGACGGUACUCAAAGAAUAAGCACCGGCUAACUUCGUG
rnacentral:rRNA from 1 species